UCGCCUGUUUAUCAAAAACAUUUCCUAGUGGGUAUUCAUACUAGGUAUAACCUGCUCAAUGAGAAUUUAAAUAGCCAAGUUGUUAAAGUAGCAUAAUAAUUUGUCUCUUAAUUGGGGGCUAGUAUGAAAGGUUGAACGAAAAAUAAGUUAUUUAUAUUUGUUUUAUUUAACUUUACCUUUGUGUUAAAAGGCACAAUUAAAAUUUUAAGACGAGAAGACCCUAGAAGCUUUAACGAAAGAUUAAACCUUAUUUUAUAAUCAAUUGUUUUUACUGGGAUAGUAAAUAGAAAAAAAUUUUAUUUAUAUCGAACUUUUACAAAAGAUUUAACCACCAAAUAAACUUAUUUUAAAAGAAAAAGUUACUCUAGGGAUAACAGCGUAAAGUUUUUAAAGAGAUCAAAUCGAAAAAUAAACCUACGACCUCGAUGUUGGACUAAGGAAAUAUUUUAAAAGAAGAAAGUUAAAAUUUAAGGUCUGUUCGACCUAUAAAUCCUUACAUGAUCUGAGCUCAAACCGGA
rnacentral:rRNA from 1 species